rnacentral:lncRNA from 1 species
GAUAAAAGCAAAUGUGGGUUUAUUUUGAAUGCUUUGGAAACCAGACCAAGAAUGGCCUGUUUUAAGUAGUUCAGCCAUAGAUUGAAAUGUAAAAACAAUCUUUGCCUUACUGUAGGCUUGUGUUUGAACACUAGAGAGCACAGUGUUUGUAAAGGGUAUAGUAGGUUUUAAGACUUAGGAAAUAGGGCUAUACCCAUACUGACAAUUUUUUUUGGAACUACAAAUACUACUUUGAUUUCCACCCCUCCCCUUCUCUGUUCCCUUAGGAUAUUGUAGGGAACCUAUGAUUAGUUUUUCUAACCAAGAAAGCACUUAAAUCUCUUUAAGCAAGUACUUUCAUAACAUCUGAUUGAGUAACCCCAACUUGCUGUUCAGCUCAUCCUACUGGAGACAAAGGUAAGAAACAUUUUCUGAUACCUGGUUUGGGAUCUGGAUUUUAAGAACUAAAGUUUGUAAUGAAUAAUUAUUUGCUCCUGACUUGCAAUGUUACUUUCCUCCUCCCAACUUUAUAUUUUUAAUUUUGAGUGUAUAAAUAUACCCAUCUCAAUUCUGGAGUUGAAUAUGAUAUUCUAAGAUCUGUUUCUUAGUUUUGUCUGUGAGCCAUGCUUUUGUAGGGCUGGUGCUAUUGUCAGCUUUCUGUGGUCAAGGUCAAUCAACUUUUGGUGUUUGCCUUUUUUGCUUUGUAUAUGAAAUUUGUAGUGAAAUUACAAAUGAAAUAAAUUAUAUGUAUUUAAAUAGUAUUAAAAGGAGAGAAGUAUUAGACUGUUGUAAUAACCACUUGUGGCUUAUUUCCAUCAUGAUUUGAAGACAGAUUGACAACCCACAAUACCUGAAUACCACAGAUUUUUAUUGAGCCAAUUGAAUGUAAAAUCUGGCCAGAAUAGAUGCCUUUAUUGUGUAAUUCGUGUAACAGUCACAUAGGCAUUGUUGAAGGUGUUUUAUAUAUAUAUAAAGUUUAUGUGAUAAGAUCUUCAUGUAAAGUCUGAACAACCAUGAAUCCCAAAUACAUCUCUAGUUUGGGUGGGCAAGGAGUUGUAGAAUUGUACUAGUACUGCAGAGGAUUAAUGUUGCUAUGUGUAAUUUUGGGAGUGAAUAAAAAGCUGUUACUUUGGAACCUUUA